GGGGAAUAUUGCACAAUGGGCGCAAGCCUGAUGCAGCCAUGCCGCGUGUAUGAGGAAGGCCUUCGGGUUGUAAAGUACUUUCAGCGGGGAGGAAGGCGAUGGGGUUAAUAACCUUAUCGAUUGACGUUACCCGCAGAAGAAGCACCGGCUAACUCCGUGCCAGCAGCCGCGGUAAUACGGAGGGUGCAAGCGUUAAUCGGAAUUACUGGGCGUAAAGCGCACGCAGGCGGUCUGUUAAGUCAGAUGUGAAAUCCCCGGACUUAACCUGGGAACUGCAUUUGAAACUGGCAGGCUUGAGUCUUGUAGAGGGGGGUAGAAUUCCAGGUGUAGCGGUGAAAUGCGUAGAGAUCUGGAGGAAUACCGGUGGCGAAGGCGGCCCCCUGGACAAAGACUGACGCUCAGGUGCGAAAGCGUGGGGAGCAAAC
rnacentral:rRNA from 1 species